GACGAACGCUGGCGGCGUGCUUAACACAUGCAAGUCGAACGGAAAGGCCCUGCUUUUGUGGGGUGCUCGAGUGGCGAACGGGUGAGUAACACGUGAGUAACCUGCCCUUGACUUUGGGAUAACUUCAGGAAACUGGGGCUAAUACCGGAUAGGAGCUCCUGCUGCAUGGUGGGGGUUGGAAAGUUUCGGCGGUUGGGGAUGGACUCGCGGCUUAUCAGCUUGUUGGUGGGGUAGUGGCUUACCAAGGCUUUGACGGGUAGCCGGCCUGAGCGGGUGACCGGCCAGAUUGGGACUGAGAUACGGCCCAGACUCCUACGGGAGGCAGCAGUGGGGAAUAUUGCACAGUGGGCGGAAGCCUGAUGCAGCAACGCCGCGUGCGGGAUGACGGCCUUCGGGUUGUAAACCGCUUUCGCCUGUGACGAAGCGUGAGUGACGGUAAUGGGUAAAGAAGCACCGGCUAACUACGUG
rnacentral:rRNA from 1 species